rnacentral:rRNA from 1 species
CCUACGGGAGGCAGCAGUGGGGAAUAUUGGACAAUGGGCGAAAGCCUGAUCCAGCAAUGCCGCGUGAGUGAUGAAGGCCUUAGGGUCGUAAAGCUCUUUUACCCGGGAUGAUAAUGACAGUACCGGGAGAAUAAGCCCCGGCUAACUCCGUGCCAGCAGCCGCGGUAAUACGGAGGGGGCUAGCGUUGUUCGGAAUUACUGGGCGUAAAGCGUACGUAGGCGGUUAUUCAAGUCAGAGGUGAAAGCCCGGGGCUCAACCCCGGAACGGCCUUUGAAACUAGAUAGCUAGAGUCUUGGAGAGGUCAGUGGAAUUCCGAGUGUAGAGGUGAAAUUCGUAGAUAUUCGGAAGAACACCAGUGGCGAAGGCGACUGACUGGACAAGUACUGACGCUGAGGUACGAAAGCGUGGGGAGCAAACAGGAUUAGAUACCCUGGUAGUCCACGCCGUAAACGAUGAUAACUAGCUGUCCGGGUACUUGGUAUCUGGGUGGCGCAGCUACGACAUUAAGUUAUACCGUCCGUCGGGUAGGUACGGUCGGCGAAGAAUUAAAACUUAAAAGGUAAAGUUAGUACGGCGUGAGAGUGCCGAACGGACGACGACGAGGGGAGGUAGG